AGAUGCCUUGAUCUGCCGAAACUGUAUGUCUGCUUGGCCGCUGGCACCAUGCAUUCCUCUGAAAGCUACCUGUCAUGUUCACAAUGGUGUGUGUGUCACCCUGGAAAUCUAUGGGGAGAAACGUUUGGAGAAAUUUAUGUUAAGCUGCACAGAGAAAGAUGUGAAGAGAUGUGGAACAACAUGGAAUGAACCAAAAACUAAGCUAAAAUACAAAUAUAACUGCUGUUCCAAUCAAGACAGAUGCAAUAUGAAGCCCUGGAUACGCCCAUGGAAGAAGUUCUCAAACCCAGAAGGAAGUCAUCAGGGAAACAAGAACAGUUCAGAUCCAUUUGUGGCAGGAUCAAGUAAUCUAAUUCAAAACUUGGCUGAUAAUACCAACUGCAAUCUUGAAAGAGAAUUAACAAAUGCACCAAAAGUGAACAAAUAAGUACAGGCAUGCAUCAAUUAACAAAGCAUCUGAAAAAAAGCUUGUUUGUAAAGUCUUCUUAAUGGCUGCCCAAUGCUGUUUUUCCUCCUCAUUCUCUGUCUAGUUGAAAGUUUUAGCAGUUUGGGCACUGGGAAGAUGGUGAAGGAGGUCUAGAGAAAUACAGACUUUCAUUCUCAGUCUGCAGCAAUGUGUGUGCAGAAAACCAUGCAAUAUUGCUUGAAUUGGGUAGGAAUGAGAUUUUGCCCCAACUGAUACUAUUGUUAUUGAGAAAAUGGACCCUUCAAAGAAUAAACUCUAAUUAUAAAUGAAAGUAUAUUAAAUAUUUUUUCUGGACAAUCUUGCAAUAUCCGCAGAUUGUCUCCCAAUGUUUCACAAUUUUGAUAAAGCAAAGUGGACUGUGUCUCCUUCCUCCCCAUGACUGUUUUAAUCAAUUCACCUUUGGAAAACUACCUAAGCCCCUGGAUAUGUGUACUCACUCUAACCAAUCCUUUCACAAUGAAUCAGGGAUCAAGAAAAGCCAUUUAAUGUAUUCAUAUGGUCCAUACGCACCCCAAUCCCAUCAAUUCAGUCUCUUCUGUGCUCAUCAAUUGAAACUUCCCUCCAUUGAUAAACUAUCAUCUCAUUGCAAAACUUCCUGCAGUCAUUGGGCUAUUCCAGCUCCCACUGAUAAUAUUGAGAUUUUUUUUUCUUUGCUAGACAUCAGCGCAUGGGUUACAGGCAAGCCUAACCCAUUGAAGUUGAUUACUUCCAGUCACCUUUUAUGUUCUCUGGACUAUCUGUGUUCACCUGAA